UGGAGCUGGAAUGACAUGCUCUGUAUUCUCUUUCAGCGAGGGGUGAGAGGAAGGGCAACGGGGCAAACGAGCGACGGGAACCUGGAGAGAGAGAUUAGCUGAACAGCUGGGAUCGUGCAGAAAGAGAAGGGUCAUACGGCUCUGGAACAACAUGAAAUUUGAUAUCCAGUCCUCUGAAUGAGCAGGUGUUUGAGAGGAAACACGGAGGAGAAAUGAGUAUCCAGGCUCACAGGUAAUGGCAUGAAGCCCCUGGCCAUGCAGCGAUCCGUCCGGGACGGGGCCACUCUUCAUCUGAGCUCUGAGAGCAGCUGUCAAUCUCAGGUUACAGGAUAUGAUUAAAGCCAGCUCAGAUCCUCCUACUUCCCAUCUUUCCACACAUCCACAACCGGGACAUUCGCCCAAUCCUCCUCUUUCCUCCUAAAAGCUGCUUUCAGUUCGCUGGGAGUCAUAAUU